rnacentral:rRNA from 1 species
CCUACGGGACGCUGCAGUGAGGAAUAUUGGUCAAUGGGCGCGAGCCUGAACCAGCCACGUAGCGUGAAGGAUGACUGCUCUACGGGUUGUAAACUUCGUUUAUAAAGGAAUAAAGUGAGGCACGUGUGCCUUUUUGUAUGUACUUUAUGAAUAAGGAUCGGCUAACUCCGCGCCAGAAGCCGCGGUAAUACGGAGGAUCCGAGCGUUAUCCGUAUUUAUUGGGUUUAAAGGGAGCGUAGAUGGGUUGUUAAGUCAGUUGUGAAAGUUUGCGGCUCAACCGUAAAAUUGCAAUUGAUACUGGCAGCCUUGAGUACAGGUGAGGUAGGCGGAAUUCGUGGUGUAGCGGUGAAAUGCUUAGAUAUCACGAAGAACUCCGAUUGCGAAGGCAGCCUACUAAACUGCCACUGACAUUGAUGCUCGAAAGUGUGGGUAUCAAACAGGAUUAGAUACCCCGGUAGUC